UGAUUACGUCCCUGCCCUUUGUACACACCGCCCGUCGCUGCCCGGGACUGAGCCAUUUCGAGAAAUUUGGGGACCGUUGAUUAAACAUUUAUUUGUUUUUUUGAUGGAAACCAAUUUAAUCGCAGUGGCUUGAACCGGGCAAAAGUCGUAACAAGGUAGCUGUAGGUGAACCUGCUGCUGGAUCAUUACUUUUUAUGUAAUGCUUUACAUUUGAAUUUAUCGCAUCAUUUUAUUUGAUGUGUAACGGCUCUCACUGGUGUCUAGGUGUUGCUGAUUCAGCUGUCUUCGUCCGUGGCUGAAUAUGAGGUGACAUGUUAGGAUUCAAUUGAAUCGUAAGACUUAAUGAGCCUCUUAAGUGAGGACGCCAGCAAUUUUUUUUUUUUUUUCAAUAAAUUUUUUUUUAAAAGACAUAUAUAAAAAUUAACCUUACCGGUGGAUCACUCGGUUCGUGGAUCGAUGAAGAACGCAGCUAACUGCGAUAAUUUAUGCGAACUGCAGAAACCUUGAGCAUAAAAGUUUUGAACGCAUAUUGCGGCAUUGGGGUCAAACCCUUUGGCACGUCUGGUUCAGGGUCAUUUUCUAACAAAGCGGAAGCUUUUAUUUUUAUAAUGUCAUUCAUUGACUCUAUAAAUGAAUUGUAAAAUGUUUUAUUGGUUUUUUUAAUUGAAUAUAAUAUUAACCAAUAAAUAUUUAUAAAUUUUUUGACCUGAACUCAGUCGAGAUCACCCGCUGAACUUAAGCAUAUCAGUAAGCGGAGGAAAAGAAACUAAACAGGAUUCCCUUAGUAACGGCGAGUGAAA
rnacentral:sRNA from 1 species